GACGAACGCUGGCGGCGUGCCUAAUACAUGCAAGUAGAACGCUGAAGGAGGAGCUUGCUUCUCUGGAUGAGUUGCGAACGGGUGAGUAACGCGUAGGUAACCUGCCUGGUAGCGGGGGAUAACUAUUGGAAACGAUAGCUAAUACCGCAUAAUAGUAGAUGUCGCAUGACAUUUGCUUAAAAGGUGCAAUUGCAUCACUACCAGAUGGACCUGCGUUGUAUUAGCUAGUUGGUGAGGUAACGGCUCACCAAGGCAACGAUACAUAGCCGACCUGAGAGGGUGAUCGGCCACACUGGGACUGAGACACGGCCCAGACUCCUACGGGAGGCAGCAGUAGGGAAUCUUCGGCAAUGGACGGAAGUCUGACCGAGCAACGCCGCGUGAGUGAAGAAGGUUUUCGGAUCGGAAAGCUCUGUUGUAAGAGAAGAACGAGUGUGAGAGUGGAAAGUUCACACUGUGACGGUAUCUUACCAGAAAGGGACGGCUAACUACGUG
rnacentral:rRNA from 1 species